rnacentral:rRNA from 1 species
UGAGGAACCUGCCCUGGACUUUGGGAUAACCCUCGGAAACGGGGGCUAAUACCGAAUACGACACGGUCUCGCAUGAGAUCCGUGUGGAAAGUUUUUCGGUCUGGGAUGGUCUCGCGGCCUAUCAGCUUGUUGGUGGGGUAAUGGCCUACCAAGGCGACGACGGGUAGCCGGCCUGAGAGGGCGACCGGCCACACUGGGACUGAGACACGGCCCAGACUCCUACGGGAGGCA